rnacentral:rRNA from 1 species
CCUACGGGAGGCAGCAGUGGGGAAUAUUGGGCAAUGGGCGCAAGCCUGACCCAGCAACGCCGCGUGAAGGAAGAAGGCUUUCGGGUUGUAAACUUCUUUUCUCAGGGACGAAGCAAGUGACGGUACCUGAGGAAUAAGCCACGGCUAACUACGUGCCAGCAGCCGCGGUAAUACGUAGGUGGCAAGCGUUAUCCGGAUUUACUGGGGGUAAAGGGAGUGUAGGCGGGGACGCAAGUCAGAUGUGAAAACCACGGGCUCAACCUGUGGCCUGCAUUUGAAACUGUGUUUCUUGAGUACUGGAGAGGCAGACGGAAUUCCUGGUGUAGCGGUGAAAUGCGUAGAUAUUGGGAGGAACACCAGUGGCGAAGGCGGGCUGCUGGACAGCAACUGACGCUGAGGCGCGAAAGCGUGGGGAGCGAACAGGAUUAGAUACCCUUGUAGUC